rnacentral:rRNA from 1 species
UCGGGAAUUUUGGGCAAUGGGCGAAAGCCUGACCCAGCAACGCCGCGUGAAGGAUGAAGUAUUUCGGUAUGUAAACUUCGUAAGAAUAGGAAGAAUAAAUGACGGUACUAUUUGUAAGGUCCGGCUAACUACGUGCCAGCAGCCGCGGUAAUACGUAGGGACCAAGCGUUGUUCGGAUUUACUGGGCGUAAAGGGCGCGUAGGCGGUUUGUCAAGUCAGUUGUGAAAUCUCCGAGCUUAACUCGGAACGGUCAACUGAUACUGUCAAACUAGAGUACAGAAGGGGCAAUCGGAAUUCUUGGUGUAGCGGUGAAAUGCGUAGAUAUCAAGAGGAACACCUGAGGCGAAGGCGGGUUGCUGGGCUGAUACUGACGCUGAAGCGCGAAAGCUAGGGUAGCAAACGGGAUUAGAUACCCACGUAGUCCCUGAGCGGGCUGGCAAGGCGCAU